GUGCUUGCUUUGGCAGCACACAUACUAACAUUGGAACGAUACAGAGAAGAUUAGCACGGCCCCUAUGCAAGGAUGACGUGCAAAUUCAUGAAGUGUUCCAUAGUUUA